rnacentral:misc_RNA from 1 species
GAUGAAGAACGUAGCGAAAUGCGAUAAGUAAUGUGAAUUGCAGAAUUCAGUGAAUCAUCGAAUCUUUGAACGCACAUUGCGCCCGCCAGUAUUCUGGCGGGCAUGCCUGUUCGAGCGUCAUUUCAACCAUCAAGCCCCAGGCUUGUGUUGGGACCUGCGGCUGCCGCAGGCCCUGAAAACCAGUGGCGGGCUCGCUGUCACACCGGGCGUAGUAGAUUUUAUCUCGCUCAGGGCGUGCUGCGGGUUCCGGCCGUUAAAAAGCCUUUUUUACCCAAGGUUGACCUCGGAUCAGGUAGGAAGACCCGCUGAACUUAAGCAUAUCAAUAAGCGGAGGA